UCACUUUCUGACACUCUUUAGUAACACCUGGUGGCAGUGGCAGUAAAAUGCAACAGAGUGUAUUCUAUCUUGUGUUUCCUCCCCAAUAAAUGUAAGUUUAAAAGGUUUUGACCUGCACCCUACAUCCUGCACUGACGCCUCCACCUGCACAACCUAACUCAGGCUGUCCCCCUGUCAAUGAUCCCCCUUGAAGCCUGAACAGUUGGAGGGCUCACUUUUCUACCAGCAGAGGAAGCUUUUUGCUGCCAUUCAUUCUUGGAGUGUAAAAAAAACAAAACAACUUCCAUAAAGCGAGGUAAUCCAUCCCAGUAACCACACAGCCUCAGUGAUAUUUGUCAAACCCCCUGUUUUAUUUCACUAUGAGUGCUGCACUAAAUUAAGCUCUGCUUACAGUCUGUCAUCUGACAACUCCAGUCCAACUCCCUGGUAGGAAAUAACGCCUAGUAAAAAAACAAAAAAACACCCCAAUGGUAAACUUUGCCGCAUCUAAGUCCGUCUUUGUAUUCAUCAAAAUCAAAUAUAAGUACAUAUUGGAAAAAAGAAUACAAACAAUAAGCAGUGAAAAUGACUGCAGGAAGUGUGGUGAGGUUUAUAUGGACUACAAUCUGAAAUAAAAUAAAAUGGAAGAUUCAGUCACAUAAGACCAAUGCCAAAAAUUUAAGUUUUGCACCUUAGAUAUAGUGAGCAGCUCCCUUUUUUUGUUUCAAAACACACCAGCCAUGUCCAAUAAGCUUCACCUGGUAAAUAUCUCCUUUUUAGGAAUAAAUCAACUUUAUUACAGCUUUGGU